rnacentral:rRNA from 1 species
UAACUGUAAACGAUGCGGACUUGGUGUUGGGGUGGCUCUGAGCUGCUUCAGUGCCGAAGGGAAGCUGUUAAGUCCGCCGCCUGGGAAGUACGGUCGACAAGACUGAAACUUAAAGGAAUUGGCGGGGGAGCACCACAACACGUGGAGCCUGCGGUUUAAUUGGAUUCAACGCCGGACAUCUCACCGGAUAAGACAGCUGAAUGAUUGUCAAUCUGAAGGUUUUACAUGACUAGCUGAGAGGAGGUGCAUGGCGUCAGUGACU